UAAAUCUAUGGAUAUAUCACGACAUGUUCACAACUUAACGUGGCAAACAGUUUGAAAGACUACAAAUACUCUUUCUAAAGAUAGUGUAUAAUUGUUGAUCUCCUUGAAAUCUGCUUAACAAAAAUGUUGGUUAAAACGAGUUAAAGAUAUUCACUCUGAUAAAUGUUUAUCAAUGUCAGUAAUACGGAAGUUUAAAGAUCCACGUGUAAACAGUUUAAUUCUACGUGACUAUCGCCUUGCAAACUACAAAUACUUUUGGUUUAGAUCAUUACUACAAAUAGUUAUCUGUAAUAUGUUCUCAUGGAUGUGAAAAUAAUCAAGUUUGAAGUAUACAGACUGGUUUACGUUAAUCUUUUUCAUUAUAAUGUCAUGUUUUUUUAAUUGUUUAUCUAAUCUUAUAAAGUCAAUGAGAAAAUCUACAAAAGAUAAAUCGGUAAAAAGUGAAAUUUACAGACAUGAUGAAAGAAAUGAAGAUAAAAGACACUGUAAACGGAAUUCGAAAAGUAAUCCAAAAGAUUUAAAUGAUGCACAAGCUGAUUCAUCGAACGGGACACGAACAGUUCCUCCUGCAAUAACUGGAAGUGUCGCAUUAAACAGGAAUCGAAACGUUACGAACACUUAUAAUGCAAUAAGUAAAGACUCAUUCAAAAAACCUGGGGCUGACGCUAACAAUUCAGCUCCACUGUCAAGCACUUUGCUGUUUCCGGGAAAGAACUGAACUGUUGCAUAACAUAAACAUGUUCGACCCUGCAACUUUGAAACAUGUGCAGGCUCCCGUCACACAGGAGAAAAUUACUCCUCUACCGAUUGCAAUUAUUUGCUGGAAAAAUGGAAUUCAUCCGUCAGAUCCACUUGCAGCAAAGUUCAGAGAUGAUAAAGCAAAUCAUACGACUGCUGAUGAUGAUGAAGAUGACGGCGACGAUGAUGAUGUUGAUGAGUGGGAUGACUAGGUCAAUUUAAAUUUGCUGUUAAGUUUUUAUGAUAUAUUUGCUUGCCCAGAAGAAACAAAAACACAUUACAGGAGACCUAAUAGUGUAAAAGCGAACAAACGACAUUAUUUUUACUAUGACAAUACGGUCCAGAACUUGAAUCUUAUACACUGUAUAUUCUGAAUUGAGUAUGGUUUGAACUGCAUUACUGAUACAUUUACCUAUAACAGUUUUGUUAAUAUGACAAAUACUACAUAAUUAAAGAUUAAAGUCUUUUAUAGCCUGAAGUGAUCGCCAAGUAAUCUCCAAGGAAAAUAGAAAUGAACAUAACUUCUUUUACCGGGGUGAUGUGGUACGUCAUUUGAGCUUAGAUUCCCUCAGAAAUUAUCGAGUCUUUUAUUGCCUUCUUAGGUUUACCUAUGCCUAAAAGAUAGAAGUUAACUUGGAUGACCAAGUAUAAAUAUUACGCUGAAAUAUAAAUUUAUCAACCACUGAUCUUAAAUUAUCAUCUUCAAUUUACACACUAAAUUCAUACCUUAGAAAUGUACAUCACUAGCUGAUGAAAUUCAAAGAUUUUUGCUCAACCUGAUCAAUCCUUUAUUCACCACUUCGAUCGCAAAUACGCGAGAUAUAUUAAAAUCUUCCUGCAUCAUAUAAUUUUGUGUUUUAAACACAUUUUUUACUUUGAAGAAAUUAGCGAAAUGCAAAUGAUGAUAAUGACUAUAUUAAAAUUAAGACUUUCAUUUCUUUUAUCCAAUGUAUGUUUUGAACACAAUAAAAAUCAUCUUUCAUUAUAAGAAGCAUGCAUGCAGGCGAGACAUUAUGCCAAUCGUAGUGUAAAUUGUGGGUGUACAGGUCAAAGACACAAUAACUUAAGAUUUUGCCAUAAUUACAUUAAACUCACGUGUGUUUAAUCAAUAAUCCAUGUGGCUCACGUUUAAUAAAUAUCCAUCGGAAUGUAUCGUAAACGUUCGGUUAAUUUUAUGGAGUUGAACUUAUUACAUUUUAAUCUGAACAUUUUAUCACAAACAAUUAUUGGUCAAUGACCAAUAUUAUAGUAAUGUAUUAUUAAAAUAGAUUUUUAUACUUUUUUUAGAUAUUAUAUUACCUGUUUUAAGAUAUCAGCUUUUGUUCGUUUUAUGAUUAUUUUGUUUGUAAUAAAACUGCUAUAUGCGAAAAAAUGAAGGUCAUUAGUAAAAAACAAAUACUGAAUUUAAAGAUUUUAGAACUGCACAUGAAGAAUAAGGUUUAUGUUUAGUAUUACUGAAUUUCUUAAUAUCUCCUAGCAAUUUAUAUAUGUAUACAGACCUUUCUGAAAUUGUAUGUGCUAUCUGUGGAUAAAGCGUUACUCAUUGCAACCUUUCAUAACUAAAUCGAUUAAAAGAAUAAUUAAUCAAGAGCUGCAAAACGGAUGAUCUCUCGGAAGAAUUAAUCAAAAUAAAAUACAUUAUGGAUUGUGAAAAAGUGCAACAUCCCUAACUGCCCCUAGUAUCGGCUUGAGCGGUAAUCAAUUUUCAACAUUUAACAGUGCUGGGGCAACUUUUUACAGCUGCCACAAAGGCACUUGACAUUUGCUGUUGUGUAGCAGACAAGAAACAUUCUAUUACCGAGUGUACUAAACGAAACAAAAAAUAAAAUUGGUAUAACAUUGGCAUAAAAUAAUUGCUUAUAAUUAUGUAUAAAUCACACAUAAAGUAAAAAGAGGAAGCAUUGCAACAGUGUUGCAGAUAACUUCCGAAAUACAAAGAAAAUAUUUACAUUUCAUUAAUUUGAGAAUGUGGUGCGCUUAAAAAGAAGUAACCAUAUAAAU